rnacentral:rRNA from 1 species
GAUGAACGCUGGCGGCGUGCUUAAUAAAUGCAAGUCGAGCGAACAGACGAGUGUCUUGCUCCCCGGACGUUAGCGGGGGACGGGUGAGUAACAUGUGGAUAACCCACCUCUAAGACUGGGAGAAUUUCGGGAAACCGGAGCUACUGCCGGACAAUAUAUUGAACCGCAGGGUUCAAUAGUGAAAGACGGGUUUGCUGUCACGUAUAGAUGGAUCCGCGCCGCAUUCGCUCGUUGGUAAGGUACCGGCUUACCAAGGCAACGAUGCGUAGGUGACCUGAGAGGGUGAUCGGACACACUGGAGCUGAGACACGGUCCAGACUCCUGCGGGAGGCAGCAGUAGGGCCUCUUCCGCAAUGGGCGCAAGCCUGACGGAGCAACGCCGCGGGAGUGCUGGAGGUCUCACGCUCCUCAAACUCUGUUAUUAGGGAAAAACAAAUGUGUAAGUAAAUACGCACGACUUCACGGUACCAACUGAGAAACCCACGCCUACCUACGUG